rnacentral:rRNA from 1 species
UGGGGAAUUUUGGACAAUGGGGGAAACCCUGAUCCAGCCAUCCCGCGUGUGCGAUGAAGGCCUUCGGGUUGUAAAGCACUUUUUGCAGGAAAGAAACGUCAUGGGUUAAUACCCCGUGAAACUGACGGUACCUGCAGAAUAAGCACCGGCUAACUACGUGCCAGCAGCCGCGGUAAUACGUAGGGUGCAAGCGUUAAUCGGAAUUACUGGGCGUAAAGCGUGCGCAGGCGGUUCGGAAAGAAAGAUGUGAAAUCCCAGAGCUCAACUUUGGAACUGCAUUUUUAACGGCCGGGCUAGAGGGUGUCAGAGGGAGGUGGAAUUCCGCGUGUAGCAGUGAAAUGCGUAGAUAUGCGGAGGAACACCGAUGGCGAAGGCAGCCUCCUGGGAUAACACUGACGCUCAUGCACGAAAGCGUGGGGAGCAAACAGG